rnacentral:rRNA from 1 species
GACGAACGCUGGCGGCGUGCUUAACACAUGCAAGUCGAACGGAAAGGCCCUGCUUUUGUGGGGUGCUCGAGUGGCGAACGGGUGAGUAACACGUGAGUAACCUGCCCUUGACUUUGGGAUAACUUCAGGAAACUGGGGCUAAUACCGGAUAGGAGCUCCUGCUGCAUGGUGGGGGUUGGAAAGUUUCGGCGGUUGUGGAUGGACUCGCGGCUUAUCAGCUUGUUGGUGGGGUAGUGGCUUACCAAGGCUUUGACGGGUAGCCGGCCUGAGAGGGUGACCGGCCACAUUGGGACUGAGAUACGGCCCAGACUCCUACGGGAGGCAGCAGUGGGGAAUAUUGCACAAUGGGCGGAAGCCUGAUGCAGCAACGCCGCGUGCGGGAUGACGGCCUUCGGGUUGUAAACCGCUUUCGCCUGUGACGAAGCGUGAGUGACGGUAAUGGGUAAAGAAGCACCGGCUAACCACGUG